CCCCUCCCAGGAUUACACCUGGAGAGUUUCCAGUACUCUACCAGUCUUGGCUAUAGGUGGGAGAGUCUAGCAGAGGCCUACCCAUUCCAUAUCUAGCUUGGGCAGUGGCUAGCUAGUGGAAGGCAAUCUGCUACAAGU
rnacentral:snoRNA from 1 species